GUGUUUGAUUGCGACUGAGAAAAAGAUUUAGAAGAAGAGAUCACUUUAGAUAUCAUAAAGAAAGAUUUUACUAUUCAAUAGUCCACCCAAGGAGUUAAAAAAUUAGUAUGUUCUGAAAGAUUGCAAAAAGGCCAAUAGAAGUUUGCCCUGGACUGGGGCCCAGUUUUCUAAGAGUGGCAUUAAGCUGAGAUUGUGGCCAUUGCAUUGGUUUCACUCAGCCUUGCUGUUGGUACCUGCUGCUCACCCUCAAGGACAGCCAGGGAGAAGACCGCUGUGGUGUAGCAAUAAAACCAGAGCAAGGUGCUAAGGCCAAUUGGCCAGAAAAAUAUCUUUGACAGCCUUACUCAUUCCCAAGGGAUGACAGAGGCAGAAAAUGUAUUGAAAAGCUAGUGUUUCUGUGAGCUAAUCACAAAGCUGGAGAAAAGCAUCUUGUGAAUGAACAGCUUGAAGCUGGCCAUGUUGUAAGGACACGUAAGCUGCCUACUGAGAGAUCUGCAUGAGGAACUGAGGCCCUUUGUCAACAGCCAUGUGAAGGGACAUUACUUAAGCCUUCAGAUAAGACUAUAGCCCCAGCCAACAUCUUGACUGCAACCCUAUGAACUGGUGAUCAACAGCAACUGCGAAUUAAUGAAUGACUAUUCUCUUAAGCCAUGAAAUGAUAACAUACAAUGACACAAGGGCCAGGCAUAAAAUCAGACAAGGUAUUAAAUAAAAAUAUUAUGUUCAGCCAGUCCCAGCCUGGAAGGAAGCUCCCCACCUCCAUCACAGGCUCCUAGGGCAGAGAAGCUCAGCUGGUCCCAGAAACUGGAAGGAAGCUCCCCCACUGCCAUCCCAAGCUCCUAGGGCAGAGAAGAUGAGCCGUGUGGGAGCCAGAAGAACCCCCCCCCCGCACCGUGGAAAUGA